AUUGAAAAGAGUUUGAUCGCGAAACCAGAUUGAACGCUGGCGGCAGGCCUAACACAUGCAAGUCGAACGGUAACAGGAAGCAGCUUGCUGCUUCGCUGACGAAGAUGGCGGACGGGUGAGUAAUGUCUGGGAAACUUUGCCUGAUGGAGGGAUAACUACUGGAAACGGUGGCUAGCCGCCGCAUAACGUCGCAAGACCAAGAGGACCUUCGGGCUCUUUACCAUCAGAUGGCCCAGAUGGGAUUGCUUGUUGGUGGUAACGGCUCACCAAAGGCGACAAUCUAGCUGGUCUGAGAAGGAUGACCAGCCACACUGGAACUGAGACACGGUCCGGGCUCCUACGGGAGGGCAGCAGUGGGGAAUAUUGCAAUGGGCGCAAGCCUGAUGCAACCAUGCCGCGUGUAUGAAGAAGGCCUUCGGGUUGUAAAGUACUUUCAGCGAGAGGGGAGGAAGGUGUUGUGGUUAAUAACCGCAGCAAUUGACGUUACUCGCGAAGAAGCACCGGCUAACUCGUAGCCGCGGUAAUACGGAGGGUGCAAGCGUUAAUCAGCCACUGGGCGUAAAGCGCACGCAGGCGGUCUGUCCAAGUCGGAUGUGAAAUCCCCGGGCUCCAACUUUUGGGAACUGCAUUCGAAACUGGCAGGCGAGUCUUGUAGAGGGGUAGAAUUCCGAGGUGUGGUGAAAUGCGUAGAGAUGCGGAGGAAUACCGGUGGCGAAGGCGGCCCCGGACGGAGCUGACUCAGGUGCAGCGUAAGGGUAAACAGGAUUGGAAAUACGCGGCCAGUCACGCCGUAAGCGAUACUACUUGGAGGUUGUGCCCGCGGGGCGUGGCUUCCGGGCUAACGCGUUAAGUAGACCGCACGCGGGAGUACGGCGCAGGUUAAAACUCAAAUGAAUUGACGGGGGCCGCACAAGCGGUGGAGCAUGUGGUUUAAUUCGAUGCAACGCGGGAGCCUUACACGAAUACUGACAUCCACGGAAGUUUUCAGAGAUGAGAAUGUGCCUUCGGGAACCGUGAGACAGGUGCUGCAUGGCUGUCGUCAGCUCGUGUUGUGAAAUGUUGGGUUAGGGUCCGCAACGAGCGCAACCCUUAUCAGCACUUGUUGCCAGCGGUCCGGCCGGGAGGAACUCAAGGAACUGCCAGUGAUGAAGCACUGGAGGAAGGUGGGGACGUCAAGUCAUCAUGGCCCGCACCCGACGAGGGCUACACGAUGCUACAAUGGCGCAUACAAGAGAAGCGACUUCGCCUUGAGAGCAAGCGGACCUCAUAAAGUGCGUCAUGUAGUCGGAUUGGAGUCUGCGCUCGACUCCAUGAAGAGGUCGGAAUCGCUAGUAAUCGUGGAUCAGAAUGCCACGGUGAAUACGUUCCCGGGCGCUUGUACACACCGCCCGUCACCAUGGGAGUGGGUUGCAAAAGUAGGUAGCUUAACCUUCGGGAGGCGCUUACCACUUGUGAUUCAUGACUGGGGUAAGUCGUAACAAAGGUAACCGUAGGGAACACCGGUUGGAUCACCUCCUUA
rnacentral:rRNA from 1 species